GGCAAGUCUCACGCACGCAUCGCGCACGCACACACGCGCUAACCUUUAUCUUAUCAUUGACGAAAACGUAUCGAGGUUGACUGCUGCAGUAUUGGCACCAAGAGACUCUACGACGACGACGACUCAAUACAACAAAUUUUCAAAGUAAGUGCCAACUCGUUCUCCAUUAUCGAUCAAAGGCCUCUCUGCAUUAAGAUAGGUAGAAGGUCCAUCCGGAAGAGUCCAAUGAUCCAGAUGGAAGAGAUGACAAUUAUAAGCCGACCCUUGAGGAGCGCCACGAUAGAGAAAAGAUCUACAAAGGAACUCGUUUUCGAUUUCGCAGGCUAAUCUGCAAGCGGACUCGCUCUGAACUUGCAAUUCCUUGUCGGUGUAAUAAUGUAGGCCUGCGUAUUGUGCAACUUUAUCGUCCGCUACGCCGAUUCUGGGCAUUUGGAAAAUCCUUUGAUACCUGCAGGCCUCUUUUCCUGUGAGCCGAAUGGAAAUGAAACGGGAAUCUUUUUCCGCUUCCUCCUCUUUUCUCCGGAGAUCGUCAAACGUUCGAUGCGAUCAUUGAAUCUCAGAAAGGUCCCGAUAAAGCUGAUCUUUUCACGAAAGCAGGCAUUUCCUUCAAGAACUUUAAAAAGCCUCCUUUUCAUUCAUGUCCUUUGAUAAUUGCGACUGCACAGAGAUUAGCGACAGUUUUGCGCACAUUUAAAGACAUCUACGAUGAUAAAGACAUUGGACGAUUCGUUAACUGAUAUUAAAGAAUCCUUUUUAAAAUCCAAGAAAGUCCUUCUUGGCCUUUUGGAACAAUCAGCCUCAUCCUGCAGGAAGUUUUUUAUGACGGUCAUUCUCUUUAAACGCAUUCACCAUGAUCCCACAGGUACCAGCAGAUGUGUUUGUCCAACCAGUCGUUCUCACUAGAUUUUCUUCGGUGAAAAGUGAAAACUAUUUUGCGCGAAUACAAAGGGCGAGAAACGGACAAAGGCGACUACUACCUGACAAAGUGCGAGAAGUGUUUUCAUAUUUCCUUAUAUUUCCUUGCGAAAGAAAAUCGCCUGAAUCAAUAUAUAACUUUAACCUGAUUUUAUAAUUAUUGCUAUAAUGAUUAU